UACAGGGGGUGCAAGCGUUGCUCGGAAUCACUGGGCGUAAAGCGUACGCAGGCGGACCGUUAAGUCGGGUGUGAAAGCCCGGGGCUCAACCCCGGAACUGCAUUCGAUACUGGCGGUCUUGAAUACGGGAGAGGUGAGUGGAAUUCCUGGUGUAGAGGUGAAAUUCGUAGAUAUCAGGAGGAACACCGGUGGCGGAAAGCGGCUCACUGGCCCGAUAUUGACGCUCAUGUACGAAAAGCGUGGGGAGCAAACAGG
rnacentral:rRNA from 1 species